UAUGAAACUGCCCUCGGGAC
rnacentral:misc_RNA from 1 species